CCACGUUAUUUCUAUAGUCGUUUUAAUUAUAAAAAUAAGUUGAUAAUUACACCUUCCAUGGUUUAUUGCCUUUACAGAUCAAAGAAUAUUCUGGAUACAACUUUCUCGGGCUCAUACUUGGGCCUGGAGGUGACACUCAGAAGCGAUUGGAAAAAGAAACUGGAGCCAAAAUAAAAGUUUGUGGUACUAGAGCAAAUACAGGGGAGAAGGUUGAAAUUUCUCCACGUGAUGGAAAUGAGAUCAUAGGUGCUUAUGAAGAGCUGUAUGUAAGUGUAUCAGCUGAAACAUUUGAGAAAGUUGAUGCAGCGGUUACUGUAAUUGAAUUGCUUGUCACUUCAGUAUCAGGAAAUUUAGGAGCUACUUCUGCAUCUCUUCAGUUUCUGGAGUUCAUUCAAGUGUUUCUUGUAGUGCUGCUUUUGAUCAUGCAAUGGCUCAACUAAUUGGUUCUUCACAAGCUUCCCCUCAGGGACCAUUUCAAUUUCCCGG